AAAAAUUGAAAUGCUGGCUUGGCUAGUACAUUAGUGACAACUUUGUUCAGUGUUAAGUGGUGUUAUACCUGCCAAGUAACAGGUUUUCGUGGUUUCAUACUAAAGUUGUGGCUUCCAAUUAGUUUUAAGUUGGAUGCUUGACGUAGUAUCAAAGCUCAGGUUUUGUCAUUUUGUUCAUCCUGCCUUACUCAAGCGAGGUCGGAAUUAUUUCCUGGAUACUUUCAUUAGGUUCUACAAAAAAUUCGUAGAUAGUGUAAAGACCUACCUAAAGUUGAAUCAAAGUGAAUUUAUACUUCUAGCUAGCUUGCUGUUAAAACAAUGAAGAAAUCAGGAUGAGACUAACUAAUCACAUUUGCCAUUGCAUGAUUUUAUAUGAUUCUUGGUUGUCGUUUUUCUAUUUGUUGUUCUUAGCCCUUGCAUUCCAGGAAGAUGAACCGUUGCCACUAACUUGCAGGUUGCAACCAUUGCAUGAUUUUAAAUUAUUCUUGCUUGUCAUUUUUCUAUUUGUUGUUCUUACCCCUUGCAUUCCAGGAAGAUGAACCAUUGCCACGAACUUGCAGGUCGCAAAUUACGCAUGUAAAACAUACUUUGGAAAUCCCUUGAGACUGGAUUUGUCUUCUACAUCACCAAUUAUAUGAUUCAAGAUGAAGAAACUUCAAGCUAUAAUUUUGUUUAUGAUGUAAGAGAGAUGAUUAUAUGAUUCAAGAUGAAGAAACUUCAAGCUAUAAUUUUGUUUAUGAUGUAAGAGAGAUGAUUAUUUGUGUAUGUCAGUUGAUAAUUCAUUUGUCGAGUCAUAUGUAAACCCCGAUUCUUUAACUCGGCUAUGUUGUUUUCAAUA
rnacentral:lncRNA from 1 species